GGAAGCGGGCGGAGUGGACCCUCCGGAUGUUAGAAGACCUGGGCAAAGAGCCGCCCUGCCACCCACCGCCCUGGACGAGGCUCCUCCAUGAUGGGCGUCAUGGCCCCUCAAGGGUUACAAGCAGAGCACGAGAUCACAGCUCCCAGAGCCUGCGCCCGUGGGUGCCAGCACCUUGUUUGUCAUCACCGCUGUUACUCUCCAGGGGCGAGCAUAUUCCUUCCUCACCAGGCCCAACAUUUGCUACAAGAGAGGACGCACCAAGUCCUUCUGGAGGCAGCAGGUGGCGUGGACUUCAGGGUGCAGCCCCGUGCCC